AAAGGUAUAACACAAAAAAGAUAUCUAUUAGAAGUAAUCCAAAAAUAGAAACUGAGAGACAACAAAGGUAUAACACAAAAAAGAUAUCUAUUAGAAGUAAUCCAAAAAUAGAAACUCAAAAGAGAGACAUAACAAAAGUAUAACACAAAAAAGAUAUCUAUAAGUAGUAAUCCAAAAAUGGAAACAUACAAAUGCUGAGAUAUUCUCGAUUGUGCCUCUGUG
rnacentral:lncRNA from 1 species